GUUGUAUAGUCAAGUAAUUAAGUGCAUGUGGUGGAUGCCUUGGCAGUCAGAGGCGAUGAAAGACGUGAUAGCCUGCGAAAAGCUCCGGGGAGGCGGCAAAUAUCCUUUGAUCCGGAGAUGUCUGAAUGGGGGAACCCACCUACUUUAAGGUAGGUAUUGCAACAUGAAUACAUAGUGUUGCAAGGCGAACGAGGGGAAGUGAAACAUCUCAGUACCCUUAGGAAAAGAAAUCAAUUGAGAUUCCCUCAGUAGCGGCGAGCGAACGGGGAUCAGCCCAUUAAGUUAUGUGUGUUUUAGUGGAACGCUCUGGGAAGUGCGAACGUAGAGGGUGAUAUUCCCGUACACGAAAGGGCACACAUAAUGAUGACGAGUAGGGCGAGGCACGUGAAACCUUGUCUGAAUAUGGGGGGACCAUCCUCCAAGGCUAAAUACUCCUGACUGACCGAUAGUGAACCAGUACCGUGAGGGAAAGGCGAAAAGAACCCCUGUGAGGGGAGUGAAAUAGAUCCUGAAACCGCAUGCAUACAAGCAGUGGGAGCACCUUCGUGGUGUGACUGCGUACCUUUUGUAUAAUGGGUCAGCGACUUAUAUUCAGUAGCAAGGUUAACCGUAUAGGGGAGCCGUAGAGAAAUCGAGUCUUAAUAGGGCGUUUAGUUGCUGGGUAUAGACCCGAAACCAGGCGAUCUAUCCAUGAGCAGGUUGAAGGUUGGGUAACACUAACUGGAGGACCGAACCCACUGUCGUUGAAAAGCCAGGGGAUGACUUGUGGAUAGGGGUGAAAGGCUAAUCAAGCCUGGUGAUAGCUGGUUCUCCCCGAAAGCUAUUUAGGUAGCGCCUCGGACGAAUACCAUAGGGGGUAGAGCACUGUUUCGGCUAGGGGGUCAUCCCGACUUACCAAACCGAUGCAAACUCCGAAUACCUAUGAGUACUAUCCGGGAGACAGACUGCGGGUGCUAACGUCCGUAGUCAAGAGGAAAACAAUCCAGACCGCCAGCUAAGGCCCCAAAAUCAUAGUUAAGUGGGAAACGAUGUGGGAAGGCAUAGACAGCUAGGAGGUUGGCUUAGAAGCAGCCACCCUUUAAAGAAAGCGUAAUAGCUCACUAGUCGAGUCGGCCUGCGCGGAAGAUGUAACGGGGCUAAAACUAUGUGCCGAAGCUGCGGAUNNNNNNNNNNNNNNNNNNNNNNNNNNNNNNNNNNNNNAUGCUGGAGGUAUCAGAAGUGCGAAUGCUGACGUGAGUAACGACAAAACGGGUGAAAAACCCGUUCGCCGAAAGACCAAGGGUUCCAGUCCAACGUUAAUCGGGGCUGGGUGAGUCGACCCCUAAGGCGAGGCCGAAAGGCGUAGUCGAUGGGAAAAUGGUUAAUAUUCCAUUACUUCUGUGUAAUGCGAUGAGAGGACGGAGAAGGCUAAAUCAGCCUGGCGUUGGUUGUCCAGGUGAAAGGAUGUAGGCAUGUAUCUUAGGCAAAUCCGGGGUACUCUAUGCUGAGAUCUGAUAGCAAGCUGUACUUGUACAGCGAAGUGGUUGAUGCCAUGCUUCCAGGAAAAGUCUCUAAGCUUCAGUUACACAGGAAUCGUACCCGAAACCGACACAGGUGGUCAGGUCGAGUAGACCAAGGCGCUUGAGAGAACUCUGCUGAAGGAACUAGGCAAAAUGGUACCGUAACUUCGGGAGAAGGUACGCUGUUGUUGGUGAUGGAACUCGCUUCCUGAGCUGACGACAGCCGCAGAAACCAGGCCGCUGCAACUGUUUAUUAAAAACAUAGCACUCUGCAAACACGAAAGUGGACGUAUAGGGUGUGAUGCCUGCCCGGUGCUGGAAGGUUAAUUGAUGGGGUUAGCGUAAGCGAAGCUCUUGAUCGAAGCCCCAGUAAACGGCGGCCGUAACUAUAACGGUCCUAAGGUAGCGAAAUUCCUUGUCGGGUAAGUUCCGACCUGCACGAAUGGCAUAAUGAUGGCGGCGCUGUCUCCAGCAGAGGCUCAGUGAAAUCGAAAUCGCUGUGAAGAUGCAGUGUACCCGCGGCUAGACGGAAAGACCCCGUGAACCUUUACUGCAGCUUGACACUGAACUUUGACCUUACUUGUGUAGGAUAGGUGGGAGGCUUUGAAGCUGGAACGCUAGUUCCAGUGGAGCCGUCCUUGAAAUACCACCCUGGUAAUGUUGAGGUUCUAACUCUGUCCCGUGAUCCGGGACGAGGACCGUGUCUGGUGGGUAGUUUGACUGGGGCGGUCUCCUCCUAAAGAGUAACGGAGGAGUACGAAGGUGCGCUCAGCGUGGUCGGAAAUCACGCGUAGAGUAUAAAGGCAAAAGCGCGCUUAACUGCGAGACCCACAAGUCGAGCAGGUACGAAAGUAGGUCUUAGUGAUCCGGUGGUUCUGUAUGGAAGGGCCAUCGCUCAACGGAUAAAAGGUACUCUGGGGAUAACAGGCUGAUACCGCCCAAGAGUUCAUAUCGACGGCGGUGUUUGGCACCUCGAUGUCGGCUCAUCUCAUCCUGGGGCUGAAGCAGGUCCCAAGGGUAUGGCUGUUCGCCAUUUAAAGAGGUACGCGAGCUGGGUUUAGAACGUCGUGAGACAGUUCGGUCCCUAUCUACCGUGGGCGCUGGAAAUUUGAGAGGAUCUGCUCCUAGUACGAGAGGACCAGAGUGGACGAACCUCUGGUGUACCGGUUGUGACGCCAGUCGCAUCGCCGGGUAGCUAUGUUCGGAAGGGAUAACCGCUGAAAGCAUCUAAGCGGGAAGCCUACCUCAAGAUAAGAUUUCCCUAGGACUUUAUGUCCUCUAAAGAGCCGUUCGAGACUAGGACGUUGAUAGGUUGGAUGUGGAAGCAUAGUGAUAUGUGAAGCUGACCAAUACUAAUUGCUCGUGAGGCUUGACUAUACAACACCCAAGCAGUUG
rnacentral:rRNA from 1 species